GUGCCUGCUUCAGGAGCUCAUAUACUAAGAUUGCAACAACACAGAAGGGAUCAGAAUGGCCCUACACAAGGAUGGCAUGCAAAUUUGCAAAGCAUUCCGUAGCUUU
ensembl:snRNA U6 U6 spliceosomal RNA